AAUCGGCGCAAACACUGUUCUUCUUCUCCAAACAACCGAAUCCAUUCUCAAAAAUUGCCAAAAUUCAGGCGAGUGAAACCCAAACUCACAUCACACAUUUUAUUUUCUCUCCUCUUGCCAUAGCGUAACCGUUUCUGAUAGAUUCCCCCUCCCUCACAUGCUUUCUUUGAUUUUAGUUCGGAUUUUUCACUCUUCAGAUGAAAAUAAGGAAAAAUAGGGAGCGUUAGAUUGGAUUCGAGCUAAUAUACUCCCUCCAUUUGUCCCUCUUUCAUCAGAAACGGGGUAAGAAAUCAGUUUGGGGGAGGAUUUUUUGUUUAGAGGGGUUUUCGUGGAGAGAAAGAAAGAAGAUACGAGAAGACCUGAAGGUCUAUAAAAGGUGAGAACGUUUUCUUAUUCUGGGGAUUUCUUUUGGAGAAUAUUUGGGGAAAAGAUUUGAGAGAGAUUUCGGAAGAAAGUUAAAAUUAGGUUUCGAGAUUUUUCUUCUUCAUUUUUUAUUGUUCUUUUAUUUCUGGUACUAGAAUAGAAGAAAAAAAAUCACUGAAUGUUCUGCUAUUUCAUUUCUAUGUCGAUUAUUGUUUAACAUUUUUUGAAAUCUCUAGAGUCCAUCUUCUUUAUUUUGAUUCUAGAUUUUGGUUUAAAAAUGGAAGUCAUUUGAGAUGUUCGAGUCUGUUGCUGCUCGAGGGUUGAUUUUCAGCUACUAUUUGCUUUCUUUGGGUCGAUUUCAGUGUUGUAUUAAUUCAGUCUCUUAAUUCCAGGGCCCUGCUUACUUUACAUGUUUCAGGAUGAUGUAUGAUACAUGGUAUGUGGUCAGGCCAGGAUGACUAUCUUUCCAAGAUCCAGAUAUCGAUCAUUAGUAGUUGUGCGGGUCAUUGCUGAGGAGACUCAAGGUAAACCUGAUGCUGCGUUCGCAGGCUUCAGAGUCACAUUCUUACUUGUAUUCAACUGUUUUCACUCUUUUUCGAAUAGUUAUACUUAGAAGUGGUAGCUAACUCUGUAGAGCUUAUAACUUGUAUUAUUGGGUUUUGGGAAUUAUAAAUUUUGUAGAGAUUUCUGCUUCAAGACUAUUACAUUUCAUUUA